rnacentral:sRNA from 1 species
UUUUUAUCUGCGGAGCCUUUGGACCUUAUCGGACGGGGCUGCUGCCUUUGGCAAUUAGUUUUCUAUAAUGUUUUUCUGACUCUGCUCUGCUUUGCUUUGGGCUGGUUCUCUGCUUCUCGCAUCGUCACCUACUAACGAGGACAGAGGACCUUUGCUGGAUAUAUUUCUUGCUCUUUCCCCUCGAGACCGCAGCUCAUUUCGUUUUAAAUUUAAUUAAAGAAAAGUUUGCCAGCUCUGCUGCAAGUUUUUUGAAAGUAA